UACGUAGGCAGCAAGCGUUGUUCGGAAUUACUGGGCGUAAAGAGUGUGUAGGCGGUGCUCUAAGUUCGGUGUGAAAGCCCCCGGCUCAACUGGGGAGGGUCACUCGAUACUGAUCGACUCGAAGGCAGGAGAGGGAAGCGGAAUUCCCGGUGUAGUGGUGAAAUGCGUAGAUAUCGGGAGGAACACCAGUGGCGAAGGCGGCUUUCUGGCCUGUUCUUGACGCUGAGGCGCGAAAGCUAGGGUAGCAAACGGG
rnacentral:rRNA from 1 species